AGGUCUUUCGUUGUAGAGGGGCACUACAUUCGAAACACACAAGGUGUAACAUUUGUGGUUAAUAGCAAUGGCUGAGAUCGAGUUGUUGAGGCUCGUGAUGAGUUGCACAGGAUGUUGAAUGAGGACGAGUUGCGAGAUGCUGUGCUGCUCGGAUUCAAUAACAAAAAUGCAAUGAAUGCUUUUGAGAUUGCCGGCAAGCUUGGUCUUCACACACUCUGCCGACGCCUGGGGUACAUCCAGAGCACAUGUGCGUGCAACCUCAGGAGGUCUUUAUGAUGAUUUGGACUGGCUUUAGUUCCAAUAACAUUGUUAACAAGGAAAGUAGCAUUGAACGAGAUGACAAAGGAACCAGUCACUGAGGUGUCCAUGUUCAAGAAAAAUUAUGACCAUCUGCGGAAAGAUACAUAUUUUGGAACGCAUAAAGAAGCAAUACGAAGCAACCAGAUUACUUUUGACUUGUGGAAAUGGGAAAUCUUCUGCUCGGAUUCAAGAUCAUGUUUGUCCUAAUGGUGCACAUGGAUGGCACAACUGCAUGAAGACUCCAAAUUGUAUUCAGGGUAACUUCAGUAUGUUCGCUUGAUAUGACAUUUUGCUGGGUGUUUUGCACAUUAUUUAAUGCUUCCAAUGUCUGAUUGUUUCAGGAAAGUAGCACUGAACGAGAUGACCUAAAGGAACCAUUCACUGAGGCAAUCACGAGCAUGUUCCGUGGGUAGAUAAACCACGAAGCCUAAUAUACUUGUCAGAAAAGGCUCGUAUUUCCAUUGCGAAAAGGUUGCGAGAAGCUGGUGUUUACCUUCCUUGCAUCAACAGAUUACUGAGAGCCGCAAUUCUUGUAGAGGAACGCGCCACUGGAUAUAAGAAGUUUGUACAACAAUUCUUGUAGAGCAGCAAUUCAGUAUGCAUUGCUCUCAUUUGGCAUGCAAGACGACCAGCAAGAAGUUUUAUGCUCCAAAUGAGGAGAUUAAAUCAAAAUCAAAAUAAAUUUGUGAUUGUAAUUUUUUUUUGUUUGAUAGUGAAAGUAAAAUUUCGUUUUGUUGUAAUGGUAAAAGUGAACGUAAAUAAAUGUAAAAUGUAUAUUCUUUUUUCUUUGGGGAUAGAGUCGUCAAUAUAUUUUUGUCUUCUUCAGCCUAUAAAAAUGGGGACUUAGGGUUACAGCCUCUCACAAUUUUCAUCCAAUAUCCUUUCCUCCAAAAACUUCUUAGCUCAGAUCAGAAUCUUGUGAAGCCAAUUUAAACAAAGACGAUGGGUGGAAGAGGAAAAUUCUAAAACGUGAAGCCGCUUAAGCAAGCACCUCCACCAUUUAUAAAGGAAAUGAUAAGAAAGUCGUUAAGGGAAGGUACACUCCAAAGCGCGGUCAACAGCAUGUCGCUGCACUCCUGCAGCCCUUCGUUCAUCAACCCUUGCCCCCGCCGUUGGUCGCUCUCCCCCCUCUUCAAAAUGAAAACGACGACGAUGAAGAGGAAGAAGAAGUAGAAGAAUGAAAAGUUCUGAUGUUAGGGUAUGAAGAGACCGUGUUUUCCUUGAUUUUUAUGAUUCGAAACUCUUCUGGUACUGUUAUCUUUAUGUUUCCAAGCACGUUUGAUUAGUAUCCUGAACAAGAUGUUUCUGUUGUGUUAAGACCUCAAAAUUUUGAUCGAGAAAUUAUAUCAUUCUCAUGUUGUGGUA